rnacentral:rRNA from 1 species
GACGAACGCUGGCGGCGUGCUUAACACAUGCAAGUCGAACGAGUGGCGGACGGGUGAGUAAUGUCUGGGAAACUGCCUGAUGGAGGGGGAUAACUACUGGAAACGGUAGCUAAUACCGCAUACCCUCGGAUGUGACCAGAGUGGAUUAGCUAGUAGGUGGGGUAACGGCUCACCUAGGCGACGAUCCCUAGGUGGUCUGAGAGGAUGACCAGCCACACUGGAACUGAGACACGGCCCAGACGCCUACGGGAGGCAGCAGUGGGGAAUAUUGCACAAUGGGGGAAACCCUGAUGCAGCAACGCCGCGUGCGGGAUGACGUCCUUCGGGUUGUAAACCGCUUUCAGCCAUGACGCGGUAGUGGCAGAAGAAGCACCGGCUAACUACGUGCCAGCAGCCGCGGUAAUUC